CAGGACGUAGCUAAGAUAGUAAAGCAUUUCCCUUACACCGAAAAGACACCCGUGCAACUCGGGUCGCCCUGA
rnacentral:tRNA from 1 species